rnacentral:rRNA from 1 species
UACGUAGGGUGCAAGCGUUAAUCGGAAUUACUGGGCGUAAAGCGUGCGCAGGCGGUUGUGCAAGACAGAUGUGAAAUCCCCGGGCUUAACCUGGGAACUGCAUUUGUGACUGCACGGCUAGAGUGCGGCAGAGGGGGAUGGAAUUCCGCGUGUAGCAGUGAAAUGCGUAGAUAUGCGGAGGAACACCGAUGGCGAAGGCAAUCCCCUGGGCCUGCACUGACGCUCAUGCACGAAAGCGUGGGGAGCAAACAGG